GAAACCAGGUGCUUGCACUUGGGGAUUAGUGGCGAACGGGUGAGUAACACGUGAGCAACCUGCCCCUGACUCUGGGAUAAGCGCUGGAAACGGCGUCUAAUACUGGAUAUGUCCCGUCACCGCAUGGUGUGCGGGUGGAAAGAUUUUUCGGUUGGGGAUGGGCUCGCGGCCUAUCAGCUUGUUGGUGAGGUAAUGGCUCACCAAGGCGUCGACGGGUAGCCGGCCUGAGAGGGUGACCGGCCACACUGGGACUGAGACACGGCCCAGACUCCUACGGGAGGCAGCAGUGGGGAAUAUUGCACAAUGGGCGAAAGCCUGAUGCAGCAACGCCGCGUGAGGGAUGACGGCCUUCGGGUUGUAAACCUCUUUUAGCAGGGAAGAAGCGAGAGUGACGGUACCUGCAGAAAAAGCACCGGCUAACUACGUGCCAGCAGCCGCGGUAAUACGUAGGGUGCAAGCGUUAUCCGGAAUUAUUGGGCGUAAAGAGCUCGUAGGCGGUCUGUCGCGUCUGCUGUGAAAUCCCGAGGCUCAACCUCGGGCUUGCAGUGGGUACGGGCAGACUAGAGUGCGGUAGGGGAGAUUGGAAUUCCUGGUGUAGCGGUGGAAUGCGCAGAUAUCAGGAGGAACACCGAUGGCGAAGCAGAUCUCUGGGCCGUAACUGACGCUGAGGAGCGAAAGGGUGGGGAGCAAACAGGCUUAGAUACCCUGGUAGUCCACCCCGUAAACGUUGGGAACUAGUUGUGGGGUCCUUUCCACGGAUUCCGUGACCGCAGCUUACCGCAUUAAGUUCCCCGCCUGGGGA
rnacentral:rRNA from 1 species